GAUAUACGACGUCAUAAACACCAUCAAGUUUGGUGUUUAUGACGUCAAUAUUCGACGUCAUAAACACCAUCAAGUUUGGUGUUUAUGACGUCGAUAUACGACGUCAUAAACACCAUCAAGUUUGGUGUUUAUGACGUCGAUAUUCGACGUAAUAAACACCAUCAAGGUUGGUGUUUAUGACGUCGAUAUUCGACGUCAUAAACACGAGCAAGUUUGGUGUUUAUGACGUCGAUAUUCGACGUCAUAAACACCAUCAAGUUUGGUGUUUAUGACGUCGAUAUU
rnacentral:miRNA from 1 species